GGCAAGGCCAGAAAGGUCAAGAGGUGUUCCAGGGGGAGAAGGCAGAUGAAAUGUGGUGAUCAAGUCCAGAGAGUCAGAAGCAGAGCUGGUUUUCAUCUCCAGAAACUAGAACCUCCAUUGCAAGUCAUCUAGAAGAAAAGAGCAAUAUCAGAACCCACAUUUGUAGCAUAAGGGAUGCCAGGCUUCCAUGAAACAAAAUCAUCAGGCAAACAUUGGACUGGAAGAUCUCUAAAGUUCCUUGAAGCUCCAACAGUCUUUGGA